CCACGGAAGAGGUCCUGAGUUCAAUCUCUGGUACCUCUUGAGGAAAAAAAACAGUGGUGGCGGGGUGACGUCAUCAACCAGCGCCGGAAGCCAUACCCUGAAAACACCUCCGCGAUCCUCAGGAGGAUGGUAGAGACUGGAGAGGGGCUCCACAAACGAAGAAUUGAAGAAAGAGAAAAGUAUCAGAUCAUCAUCAUUAGAAGUUGCAAAAGACCCCACCUCUUCAUUCCGUGGUUUAAUCCUCUUCGCAGGUAACCAAAUUUGUUCUCCAUUUUCUGAAAUGAUAAGAGCAUAGCCUCACCCCCAUACUUUAAUCCUGCCUUUUUUUCAUUCAUUGCUUAAAAUAUCUUUCCAGAAUAUUGGUUAAUCUUCAUUUCCUGCGUCCACUGUAGAUGUUUGACAUUUUCCAAAGUGACAUUCCGCAGGUGUCAAUGAAUUAUAAACAUUAAGAAAAUUUAAAGUAAAUAAAGCUUUUGCCAGUUGAUCUUUUGGUGUUAUAAUACCAUCAUCUCCCC
rnacentral:lncRNA from 1 species